UACGUAGGGUGCAAGCGUUGUCCGGAAUUAUUGGGCGUAAAGGGCUCGUAGGCGGUCCGUCACGUCGGCUGUGAAAACCCGGGGCUCAACCCCGGGCCUGCAGUCGAUACGGGCGGACUAGAGUUCGGCAGGGGAGACUGGAAUUCCUGGUGUAGCGGUGAAAUGCGCAGAUAUCAGGAGGAACACCGGUGGCGAAGGCGGGUCUCUGGGCCGAGUACUGACGCUGAGGAGCGAAAGCGUGGGGAGCGAACAGG
rnacentral:rRNA from 1 species